CCUACGGGUUGCAGCAGUGGGGAAUAUUGCACAAUGGGCGCAAGCCUGAUGCAGCCAUGCCGCGUGUAUGAAGAAGGCCUUCGGGUUGUAAAGUACUUUCAGCGGGGAGGAAGGUGUUGAGGUUAAUAACCUCAGCAAUUGACGUUACCCGCAGAAGAAGCACCGGCUAACUCCGUGCCAGCAACCGCGGUAAUACGGAGGGUGCAAGCGUUAAUCGGAAUUACUGGGCGUAAAGCGCACGCAGGCGGUCUGUCAAGUCGGAUGUGAAAUCCCCGGGCUCAACCUGGGAACUGCAUUCGAAACUGGCAGGCUGAGUCUUGUAGAGGGGGGUAGAGUUCCAGGUGUAGCGGUGAAAUGCGUAGAGAUCUGGAGGAAUACCGGUGGCGAAGGCGGCCCCCUGGACAAAGACUGACGCUCAGGUGCGAAAGCGUGGGGAGCAAACAGGAUUAGAUACCCCCGUAGUC
rnacentral:rRNA from 1 species